rnacentral:rRNA from 1 species
GAUGAACGCUGGCGGCGUGCCUAAUACAUGCAAGUCGAGCGAACGGACGAGAAGCUUGCUUCUCUGAUGUUAGCGGCGGACGGGUGAGUAACACGUGGAUAACCUACCUAUAAGACUGGGAUAAUUUCGGGAAACCGGAGCUAAUACUGGAUCAUAUUUUGAACCGCAUGGUUCAAAAGUGAAUGACGGUCUUGCCGUCACUUAUAGAUGGAUCCGCGCUGGAUUAGCUAGUUGGUAAGGUAACGGCUAACCAAGGCAACGAUGCGUAGCCGACCUGAGAGGAUGAUCGGCCACACUGGAACUGAGACACGGUCCAGACUCCUACGGGAGGCAGCAGUAGGGAAUCUUCGGCAAUGGGCGAAAGCCUGACGGAGCAACGCCGCGUGAGUGAUGAAGGUCUUCGGAUCGUAAAGCUCUGUUAUUGGGGAAGAACAUAUGUGUAAGUAACUGUGCACAUCUUGACGGUACCUAAUCAGAAAGCCACGGCUAACUACGUG